rnacentral:rRNA from 1 species
AGAUUGAACGCUGGCGGCAGGCCUAACACAUGCAAGUCGAGCGGCAGCACGGGUACUUGUACCUGGUGGCGAGCGGCGGACGGGUGAGUAAUGCCUAGGAAUCUGCCUGAUAGUGGGGGAUAACGCUCGGAAACGGACGCUAAUACCGCAUACGUCCUACGGGAGAAAGCAGGGGACCUUCGGGCCUUGCGCUAUCAGAUGAGCCUAGGUCGGAUUAGCUAGUGGUGGGGUAAUGGCUCACCAAGGCGACGAUCCGUAACUGGUCUGAGAGGAUGAUCAGUCACACUGGAACUGAGACACGGUCCAGACUCCUACGGGAGCAGCAGUGGGAAUAUUGGACAAGUGGGCGAAAGCCUGAUCCAAGCCAUGCCGCGUGUGUGAAGAAGUCUCGGAUUGUAAAGCAACUUUAAGUUGGAGGAAGGCUAGUUACCUAAUACGUAUCUGUUUUGACGUUACCGACAAGAAUAACGCACCGGACUAACUCUGUG